GAAACUUGUCGGGACGUCUCCAGUGGUGAAGCAGGCCGCUGCAGGGCAUGCCGAUAAUUAGGAAUAUGGUCUGCAUCCAUGAGGGAUCAGGACAGCACUGUGCAUGGCACACACCUCUCUCCUCAAUUUUCCUUAGGGCAGGACUUGGCACAGGACAGGGAGUUUGGAAGCGCACACUGUUCUCAGAACACAGAUCCAGCUGGAGAACUGGGUCUCCAAAGCAGAUGCUGGCUGAUAAGCCUCAUGCCUUUGUGCGAGGUCAUCCCAGAGCAAGGGAAUGCUGUCCUGGUCAGUCACAGCAUCACCCUUGCAGGGGUGCCACAGCCACAUUUAUAGCGAGCUUCAAUGACCGUCUGUGCCGGAGGAGGUCACCCCUAGAAAUGCCUAGCCACGUCUGUGCUUCAUUUGCAGGAGCUGUAAACCUGCCACCUGGCUGGUGGCUUUAUUGCUUUGGAUGAUGCUGGUGUCAAAGAAAUUUGGUGCGGGAGCCAAUUGGAACACAGUCAGUUUUAUAUUUAAUCUUUGCUAUAAAGGCAAAUAAAGGUUCUGUAUUUUGA